rnacentral:misc_RNA from 1 species
CUCUGUCGCAUAAAAAACCAACCUAAUACAAUACCGAAUAUGACACAUUCUAGUACUACGAAUCUGGACAUACAGUAUUAGAAUAUGUCUAUAUUCGUUGUACUAUAAUAUGUUAUAUCCAGUACUAGAUUCGUUUUUUUUCAUGACGGA